rnacentral:rRNA from 1 species
UGUGAGCUCGAUGAGUAGGGCGGGACACGUGGUAUCCUGUCUGAAUAUGGGGGGACCAUCCUCCAAGGCUAAAUACUCCUGACUGACCGAUAGUGAACCAGUACCGUGAGGGAAAGGCGAAAAGAACCCCGGCGAGGGGAGUGAAAAAGAACCUGAAACCGUGUACGUACAAGCAGUGGGAGCACCCUUCGGGGUGUGACUGCGUACCUUUUGUAUAAUGGGUCAGCGACUUAUAUUCUGUAGCAAGGUUAACCGUAUAGGGGAGCCGGAGGGAAACCGAGUCUUAAUUGGGCGUUAAGUUGCAGGGUAUAGACCCGAAACCCGGUGAUCUAGCCAUGGGCAGGUUGAAGGUUGGGUAACACUAACUGGAGGACCGAACCGACUAAUGUUGAAAAAUUAGCGGAUGACCUGUGGCUGGGGGUGAAAGGCCAAUCAAACCGGGAGAUAGCUGGUUCUCCCCGAAAGCUAUUUAGGUAGCGCCUCGUGAAUUCAUCUCCGGGGGUAGAGCACUGUUUCGGCUAGGGGGCCAUCCCGGCUUACCAACCCGAUGCAAACUGCGAAUACCGGAGAAUGUUAUCACGGGAGACACACGGCGGGUGCUAACGUCCGUCGUGAAGAGGGAAACAACCCAGACCGCCAGCUAAGGUCCCAAAGUCAUGGUUAAGUGGGAAACGAUGUGGGAAGGCCCAGACAGCCAGGAUGUUGGCUUAGAAGCAGCCAUCAUUUAAAGAAAGCGUAAUAGCUCACUGGUCGAGUCGGCCUGCGCGGAAGAUGUAACGGGGCUAAACCAUGCACCGAAGCUGCGGCAGCGAACGUAUCACCCAAGACAACUUUACGGAGUUGACGAUUGACGGAGCGAAGCGACGUCAAAGCGUUCAUUAAAGUCGAGUUGGCUUAGGGAUACGUU